AGCUCUUUCUUGAUUCAGUGGGUGGUGGUGCAUGGCCGUUCUUAGUUGGUGGAGUGAUUUGUCUGGUUAAUUCCGUUAACGAACGAGACCUUAACCUGCUAAAUAGUCACGCGAACCGGUCCGCAAGGGCUCAAAGUUCGCGGCUCGACUUCUUAGAGGGACUAUUCGCACCCGCCAGCGAAUGGAAGUUUGAGGCAAUAACAGGUCUGUGAUGCCCUUAGAUGUUCUCGGCCGCACGCGCGUUACACUGACGGAGUCAACGAGCGUUUUUCCUUGCCCGAUAGGGUUGGGUAACCUCCUGAAACUCCGUCGUGAUGGGGAUAGAUCAUUGCAAUUAUUGAUCUUGAACGAGGAAUUCCUAGUAGGCGCGAGUCAUCAACUCGCGCCGAUUACGUCCCUGCCCUUUGUACACACCGCCCGUCGCUCCUACCGAUUGAACGGUCCGGCGAGAACUCCGGAUGG
rnacentral:rRNA from 1 species